rfam:Pteropus alecto contig89507, whole genome shotgun sequence.
GUCUAUGGCCAUACUACCCUGAACAAGCCCAACCCCGUCUGAUCUGGGAAGCUAAGCAGGGUCGGGCCUGGUUAGUAUUUGGAUGGGAGACCACCUAGGAAGACCAGGUGCUUGUAGGCA